UCCCCAUGGAGACCGAGCUCUUCCGGGAAACCGGGGCUGCCGGCGGCGGGCUCGGAGGUGAGGGCCUGCGGAGAGGCCGUGGCAGCUCAGAAGCUGUGGCAGUGCUGUGGGGUGGGUUCGGAAUGGGGAUGGUGGCAGCCGUGUCCCGGGGGCAUCGGGCCGCGGAGGAGAUUGUCCCGCUCUGCUCUGCGCUGGGGCGGCCUCACCUGGGAUAUUGAGGGCAGGUGUGGGCACCGCAAAAUAAGAAGCAUAUUAAGGCGUUAGAAAGCGUCCAGAGGAGGGCAGUGAAGCUGCUGAAGGGCCUUGAGGGGGAUCGGAGCGGCUGAGGGCACUUGGUCUGUUCAGCUGGAGGAGACUGAAGGGAGACUCAUCCCAGUUACACCUUCCUGUGAGGGGAAGAGAGACAGACACUGAUCUCUGCUCUGGUGACAGUAACAGGACCCAGGGAAUGGCUGGAGUUGUGUCAGGGCAGGGUUAGGUUGGAUGUUAGGAAAAGGUUCUUCCCCCAGAGGGUGGUCGAGCACUGAACAGGCUCCCCAGGGAAUGGGCACAGCACGGAGCCUGUCUGAGAUCAAGGAGCUCCAGGGGACAUGAUGUGACUCUUGGGGUGUCCUCUGCAGGACCUGGACUCGGUGACCUAUGUGGGUCCCUUCCUACUCAGCAUGUUCUGUGAUUCUAUUUUGGUUUUUUGCUAAGUUAUGUUUAUCCAAAGUCAAAGACUUCUUGUCUCGUGCUCUGGCAGUAAGGAGGUUCACAAAGGAAACUGGGAGGGAGCACAGAUGGGACAGGUGACCUGAACUGGCCAAAGGGAUAUGUUCCACACCACAGAAUGCCCAGUGUAUCAACUGGGGAGAGUGACUGGGGUGGAGCUGAUCUGGGUUCAGAAAGGGGAUCUGACAUCAGUCAGUGGGUGGUGAGCAACUGCAUUGUGCAUCACUCAUUUUCCCCGUCGUCGUCGUUGUUGUUGUUUUACUUUGAUUCUCCUUCCCAUUCCAUGGGGUGGGAGGAGAAGAGAAGGGGGAGUUGAGCAAGUAGCUGUGUUGUGCCUAAUUUCCAGCUCAGCUUAACCCACCACAGCUAGCUUAGGGAAUGUGGGUUGGAUGAAUGGGUGGUGAGGUGGAUCAAGGGCUGUGUGGGUGGCAGAGCUCAGACGGCAUCAUCCACUUGGAAGUCUGCAGUGGCUUCCCCAAAGAUCUAUACUGGGUCCAGUGGUCCAGUCUUAAUCAACUUGUUUAUCAACAAUCUGGACAGACUGACAGAAUGUACCCUCAGCAGGUUUGGUGAUGAUAUGGAACUGGGGAAGUGGCUGAUCCACCUGAAGCUUGGGGGCUGGGUGACACACAUGGGGGACUGGCUGAUCCACCUGAAGGCUGUGCUCCCAUUCAGCAGGACUUUGAGAGGCUGGAGAAUCGGGCAGAGAGAAACUUAAUGAUGCUCAACAAGGGCAAUGCAGGUCCUGCCCCUGGGGAGGAACAGCCCCAAGUACCAGCACAGGCAGGGGGGACCUGCUGGAGCAUCUCUGCAGGAAGGACCUCAUGGUCAAUGAGCUGUCCUGGAACCAGCAGAGUGUCCUGGGGGCCAAGAGGCCCUGGGGUGCACUGGGAGGAGCACUGGCAGCAGGUCAGGGAGUGACCCUGCCCCUCUGCCCAGCCCUGGGAGGCACACCUGAGUGCUGUGUUUAGCCCUGGGCUCCUUGCCAGGUAAGGAAGGGCCUGGAGCAUCUCCCUUGCUGAGGAAAGGCUGAGGGAGCAGAGGCUAUUCAGCCUGGAGAGGAGACACAGCUGAGAGAGGCCCUCAUCCCCGUCCCUGCGUCCCUGUUCAGCCUCUGCUCCGGGGCGCGCAGCGAUGGCACAUGAACAACGGGCAGGAACUGAUGCACAGGAAGUUCCAUCUGAACAUGAGGAAGAACUUUACUGUGCAGGCGACACAGUGCCUAGAGAGGGCGUGGAGUGUUCAUCCCUGGAGAUAUUUUAAAAAAACCCAACAAAACACCAAAACAUAAAAGGACGGAAUCCUGUUCUGUUUGCUCUGGGAUGACCCUUCUGGACCACAGCAGGCCUCUAUCAGCCUGACUCCGUGUGUGAUUCUGGAAGUCCGAGACAGCGGCGCUUCCGGUAGCGAGCUGCGGUUCCGGGCAGAGAGCUGCGGUUCCAGGGCAGAGCGGCGGUUCCAGGGCAGAGAGCUGCGGUUCCGGGGCAGAGCUGCGGUUCCGGGGCAGAGCUGCGGUUCCAGGGCAGAGAGGUGUGAUUCCAGGCAUUGAGGGGUUUGAGCAGCAGCUCCGGGAAGGAACCGGCGGCGGGUCUGAGACAGAGGGGCCGGUGCGGGGCAGAGCAGCGAGUCCCGGAAGGGACCGGCGGUGGGUCCGGUCAUUGAGUGGCGGCACCGGGCAUUGAGCGGCGGCUUUAAUAAGGGACCGGCGACGGCUCCGGGGCUGAGCGGCUGUCCCGGGCAGAGCGGCGGUGUGUCCGGGCAUUGAGCGGCGGUCCUGGGCAGAGCCCGGCUCCGGCAGCCCAGGCUCCGGGGCCAUGGAGGAGCAGCAGCGGCGGGCGCUGCGGCGCGGGCGGGCCCGGCUGGUGGCGGCGCUGCGGGUGGAGUCGCUCUGGGACCCGCUGGAGCAGCGCGGGCUCUUCACCCGGCCAAUGCUGGAGGAGCUGCAGAGCACUGGCAGCCGAGGGGAGCAAGCCCGGCAGCUGAUCAUUGACCUGGAGACUCGAGGGAAGCAGGCUUUCCCUGCCUUCCUCUCCAUCCUGCGGGACACUGGGCAGGGCGACCUCGCCGAGAUGCUGAUCCAGGAGUGCGAAUCCUGGCCGGUGCCACCGCAGCUGACGGACCUGCGACCCAUGGAGCUGGAGCUGCGGGAGGAUAAACAGCAUAAAAAUGUGAACCCUCAUGAACGUUUGUCUAUCCCAGUCCAAGCCGAGAGUGAAAGACCUCGAAUGCCUUCUGUGUCGGCCUGGGGUUCUGCUGUUGACAAGAGGAGCCGUGACCAGGAUUAUGAGAUGAAAGCGGAUCCCUGCGGACACUGCCUGAUCAUCAACAACGUCAGUUUCUCCAGAGACUCGGGUCUGUCCACCCGAGAAGGGUCUGACAUUGACUGUGAGAAGCUGGAGAGGCGCUUCAAGGCCUUGCGCUUCACCAUCCUGACCCGGCGGGAUCUGAAAGCUCAGGAAAUGGUGUUGGAGCUGCUGAAGCUGUCUCAGCAGGACCACAGUGCUUUGGACUGCUGCAUUGUGGUCAUCCUUUCCCAUGGCUGUCAGACGAGCCAUAUUCAGUUUCCUGGAGGCGUUUAUGGAACGGAUGGAAAACCCAUUCCCAUAGAAAAGAUUGUGAACUAUUUCAAUGGGUCCAAUUGCCCGAGUUUGAGAGGAAAACCCAAACUGUUCUUCAUCCAGGCCUGUGGUGGAGAACAAAGGGAUCAAGGCUUUGUAGUGGAUUGUGAUUCACCUGAAGAGGAAGCUCCUGGGGGUUCCUUGGAAUCCGACGCAACUCCGUUUUGGGUUUCAUCGGAUAACAUAGAUGAGCCCGAUGCCAUUGCCAGUUUGCCCACACCUAGUGACAUCUUGGUUUCCUACUCAACUUUUCCAGGUUUUGUCUCCUGGAGGGAGAAGUCGAGUGGCUCGUGGUAUGUGGAAACGCUGGACAGUGUGCUGGAACAGUACGCCCAUUCGGAAGACCUGCUCAGCAUGUUAGUGAGGAUGUUUGUCUGGAGAAAUGUGAUCCACGAGCGCUGGCUUUGCCAUGGAGUGGAGAUGAGAUGGAGAUUGUGCUGUGCCGAUGGGAAAUGUUGUGGAUGGAGCAGGAAGUCCCUUUGCUGGAGAAGAGAGCCAGAGGAGAGCACUUCUGGCUCAUCCUGACACAGCCACACUCGGCCUCAGAGUGUUUUUCUUUGCUGAUCAUGAUAUUUGUGUCCAGCACUUCCUGAAGGCUCCUCUGAAGUGGGAAGAGUAGGAACCUUCAUUCGUGUCUGUGCUGCUGUCUGGUCAUUUACAAUGUGGCUGUGCCAGCCUGUGGAACAUCCUGAUCCUUUUGAGGAGUCAGUUGGGAAUUACAGCAGGAAACUGAUGAGGAUUCAUUGAAAUACCAGUGCUGAAGUAAAGUUCUUAAGGAGCUGCUACCAUGAUGGCCUUGGGUCAGAAAUCCUGCAUCUGUGUUGGCUUUUGAGGGGGGAAAGCAUCCUUGGAGCCACCCUUGGGAGGUGCAGAGGCCUUAUGCCCAGGCCGGAGCCGAAGCUGACGAUGCCGUCGACCUCCCAGAUCCCAUCAUCGCGCUGGCAGUUCAGGGGACCCCCAGAAUCGCCCUGUGCAGAGAGACAGUGUUGGCCAUCGCUCCUGGGCACCCUGUUGGCACACCCCACAU